rnacentral:rRNA from 1 species
UCGGGAAUUUUGGGCAAUGGGCGAAAGCCUGACCCAGCAACGCCGCGUGAAGGAUGAAGUAUUUCGGUAUGUAAACUUCGAAAGAAUAGGAAGAAUAAAUGACGGUACUAUUUAUAAGGUCCGGCUAACUACGUGCCAGCAGCCGCGGUAAUACGUAGGGUGCGAGCGUUAAUCGGAAUUACUGGGCGUAAAGCGUGCGCAGGCGGUUCGCCAAGUCAGGUGCGAAAUCCCCGGGCUUAACCUGGGAAUUGCGCUUGAAACUAGCGGGCUUGAGUGUGGCAGAGGGGGGUGGAAUUCCACGUGUAGCAGUGAAAUGCGUAGAGAUGUGGAGGAACACCGAUGGCGAAGGCAGCCCCCUGGGUCAACACUGACGCUCAUGCACGAAAGCGUGGGGAGCAAACAGGAUUAGAUACCCACGUAGUCCCUGAGCGGGCUGGCAAGGCGCAU